AGAGUGAACGCUGGCGGUAGGCCUAACACAUGCAAGUCGAACGGCAGCGCAGUAGGAGCUUGCUCUUACGGGUGGCGAGUGGCGGACGGGUGAGGAAUACAUCGGAAUCUACCUUUUGGUGGGGGAUAACGUAGGGAAACUUACGCUAAUACCGCAUACGCCCUUCGGGGGAAAGCCGGGGACCAGCAAUGGCCUGGCGCUGAUAGAUGAGCCGAUGUCGGAUUAGCUAAGUUGGUGAGGUAAUGGCUCACCAAGGCGACGAUCCGUAGCUGGUCUGAGAGGAUGAUCAGCCACACUGGAACUGAGACACGGUCCAGACUCCUACGGGAGGCAGCAGUGGGGAAUAUUGGACAAUGGGCGCAAGCCUGACUCCAGCCAUACCGCGCGGUGAAGAAGGCCUUGGU
rnacentral:rRNA from 1 species